CCUAAUGUUUCCUCUUUCCGCAUCGAGGGCCGCCGCCGCCGCCGCCCCCCUCCCCUGGCCGCCCCGCGGUCUUCUAUCUCUCCAAGCUCCGCCGCCGCGCCCUGUCUUCUGUCUCUGCACGAAUCUCUGCUGUGGAAGCCAUGCCCUGCCGCGCCAUCCGGGCACGCCGUGUCCGGGAUGAUGGAGGUGAUGUCGGCCAGGUCCCUAUUCCCGUCGGCAUCUUUUGCGGCGGGACCCGUGGGGGCAGGUCCCUGUUCCAUUAUGCGUCGAUGGCGUCGGCGUGGCCUUCCCCUACCAAGCACGGCGGCUCCUUGGCUGGAUCAUGGUGAUGAUGCAGCCGGAUCGGCGGGGGCUAGGGAUCUCGCCGGCUGGCGUUUCUUUGAUGCCUGGGUGUUCCAAUGGUGAUGGAACAGAUGUAUAAUGUACGGUACAAGACUUUGGACGAGGCUGAUCUGCGUGGAUGAUUGUGGCUUGGCCGUCGGGCACACAAUCCAUUGAUUCACACAUAAGAAUAAAUUCUGCAAGGCCCGUGGCGACUGAAAAUUCUGCUUUAAGCAGUCCCUGGGAAUUACGUGCAGCAGGUGUAAGUCCUAUUUCCUCUAUGUUGGGAAUUACAUUUUUCUUCUAUAUACAGAAUAAAUUCUGCAAGGCCCGUGGCGACUGAAAAUUCUGCAAGGUUUUAUGUACAUGAAAAGGUAAAUUUCAUAUAGUUGCAAUUGCAACCAGAGAAUCCAUGGUUUGUUAGUUUGUUUCUCAUUAUAUGCAUGAUCUUUCCUUUGAAAUUCCAAUAUUUAUAUUGUAGAAUUGCCAGUUAUAGAACAUAUGACAAGGUAUUUUCAGUUGUGAUAUCAGAGUGUCCUUUUUGUAAUUUUCAUUUGUAGCACUGAGUUGUGCAGAUUUAUGAUGGUCAAAAUAAUGUUGGCUAAAUCUAUUAGUAGAGUUAUUUAUUCUGUUCUGCACACCUGAAUAUUCAGAGUUAUAUGCAUGCAACGACGUCUACAUGUACUCGGUCGAUGAUCACUACUCUGCAGUACAAAAUUUCUAUGAGCACACUUAAGCAGAGUUAUAUGCAGACAAUUAACAGUAAUAGCAAUUGUUGUUAUUUUCAGAGCAGUUUUAAUUUUAAAAAACAUGUACUUGAUUAAUCUUUUCUUUUCUUUCAUGCAACGAAUAGAGUAUACACAAUAUACUACAAUUUGGUGUAACCCACACAAGGAUUCAAGAAGCAGGGCCAAACAGGACUAAUGAAGACAUAGCACAGUACUGUUCUUCAGGAUAUGAUGUUUAUUUUUGCCAAAAUUAUUAAGAGAUGAAGUAGUUUAUUAGGUUUCCAUUCCUUAUAUUGUGCAUUUUUUAUGUGACUAUUCUCGGUACAUAUAUUCUUAAGAAAAACAAGAUAGUUGUUGAAUGCUCUCUGAAACAUAGCAUAGAUUUUUCGUCGAAAAUAAUACUCUAUUUACUUUGAAUGUGAGUUCUGUUUUGCUUUAAACAGCUGAGUGCAUUCUGAAAUAUUGUCUCAAAGAACAAGGUGCAUGUUGAGUAUUUCUCCUCCCUCCCUCAUCUGAGCGAAGAAGACAUGCUGGAGUUGGGCGACUUCCACACCUCCCUCAUCGACGGCGUCUACAAUAUACUUGGCAAAGUCGAGGACGUAUACAAGAUUCUCGGCAACGACAAUGGUGUCUCCUUCCACCUUUUCAACAAAACCACACUUGGCGCCAGUGGUGGUGUCUAAUCCUUGAUGGUGGGGGUCUCAUUUUGGGGGAAAUCUGGAGAAGUCUUGGUUUGAUGGAGUUUUGCUAUCAACUUACUGUAUCUCAUUGAGGGAAAACUUGGAGAAUUUUCAGACUAUGGGUUCACAACAGAGCAUUGCAGUCAAAUUGCUAAAUCAGUCAGCAAGUAACGGGCAUGAGCAUCGUGUAUGUCGUGUUUUACUAGCUAGAAAAUACAUUCCUAGAAAGGAUUGGUGCUUGGACAUGUUACUCUUGUGCGAUAUCAUAUUUACAU